AUACUUCCCUGGCAAAGGUGAUGCCAUGAUCAUGAAGGUAGUUUUCCCAAGGUGAGAUUUAUCCAUUACACUUCUAAUGUGCUGACUGACACCUAUGAUUUAUCCAAUAGUGAAAAACUCAACUGCUUAUUCGUGAUAGCAUGGGACUGCAUUUGCACUCUCCCCUA